UCUUUUCCUUGUGUGCCAGCCGCCGCGGUAAUACGGAAGGUCCGGGCGUUAUCCGGAUUUAUUGGGUUUAAAGGGAGCGUAGGCCGGAGAUUAAGCGUGUUGUGAAAUGUAGACGCUCAACGUCUGCACUGCAGCGCGAACUGGUUUCCUUGAGUACGCACAAAGUGGGCGGAAUUCGUGGUGUAGCGGUGAAAUGCUUAGAUAUCACGAAGAACUCCGAUUGCGAAGGCAGCUCACUGGAGCGCAACUGACGCUGAAGCUCGAAAGUGCGGGUAUCGAACAGG
rnacentral:rRNA from 1 species